rnacentral:rRNA from 1 species
AACGAACGCUGGCGGCGUGGAUAAGGCAUGCAAGUCGAACGCGAAAGUCACUUCGGUGACCGUAGAGUGGCAAACGGGUGAGUAACACGUGGGCAACUUUCUCUUAGGCGGGGGACAACACCGGGAAACUGGUGCUAAUACCGCAUAAUGUCCGGGAAUCGCAUGGUUUCCGGACCAAAGGUGGGGCUCCUUCGGGACCUGCCGCCUGAGAAUAGGCCCGCGGCUGAUUAGCUUGUUGGUGAGGUAAUGGCUCACCAAGGCUCCGAUCAGUAGCCGACCUGAGAGGGUGACCGGCCACACUGGGAUUGAGAUACGGCCCAGACUCCUACGGGUGGCUG